rnacentral:pre_miRNA from 14 species
GUGACUGUGGUCCAUGGCUUUCUGGUGCCCUUCAUUCCACCGGAAUCUGUAGGGAUCAAAACCAGAUUUCAGUGAAAUGAAGCCCCUCAGACGUGGAAUUCA